CCUUCCAACAGCAGCGGCAAUACACGCAGUUUCCUUUAAUUUCCAUGAAAGAGAAAAACUGAGGCAGAGAGGGAGAUGGAGGCUGAGUUGCGGCAGAGGAGAGGCGGAAGGAAGCUCAUCGCGUUGCCGUCGCCUCGCCACCGCGCCACCGCGCCGUUGCCGUCGCUGGAGAAGCUUCACGCACCGCUGUCACUCCCUGGCGCCACCGCAGAAGCCGCCCUCGCCAAUGCCAUGAAUCGCGAAGAAGAGAAAGGACUCACGCCGCCUUCGCCACUGUCAAUCCAUCGAAGCUGGCGUGAGAGAAGAGGAGGAAGGGGCGUUGUCUUGCACUGUUGCAGCCGCACCUAGGCACCGCUGCUGCAAGCUCAUGUUGUUGCGUUGCCGUGCCAUCAUCACCUUGGAUCUUCUCUGUUCGCGACCUGAGCUAAGGGAGAAGAGAUGAACGCGUCGAAGAGGGGCAGAACUCGGGUCUCGUCGCCACCGUCCAUGGGGCCUCGAGCCGCGUCGCUGUCACCGGCAAGAGGGGGAAGACGCGAGCUGGAGGAGCAAGAUGAGUCCUUCUGCCUCCGUUGUUUUGGUCCGCUGAGAAACGGAAGGUGCUGCCCUUGUGCUUCACGGUCGCCGACGAACACGGAGAAGAGGAGCUGUGGCCGCAUCACUACCGUUUGGAGGACUAUGCCUGGCCGCCGUUGUACCGCCCUACUUCACCGUGGCUGAGCUCUGCCACUUCCUGCCCCUUUUGGCGUGUGAUGUUGUUGCGGGAAUCGCUAUAGGAAGAGGAGCAGGCUGAGUCACCAGGAUUUGGGCCGCUGUGACUUCCGGGAUCACCAACGGAGCUCCGGGCUGAGCUUCUCCCACUUAAGACCCUGCUGCUGCUGCUGCUGGAAAAGUUUGCCGUUGAUGUGAUUGGAAUUCGUCGCUGCUUCCGCUUGAGGUGGUUACCGGACUGCCGCCGAGCCGGUUCGGAGAUUGCCACCAUUUUGGUUCAGCUAUUUCUCCUUCGGUUUGAGUUGUUGAGACUGUUACGAAAGUGGCUUGGAGCUGAGGUUUUGGUUGCCGUCAGUUCGGUUUGAGACGAAAAGGACUUGAUGAGGCAUUUGGGUUAUGGAAUUGCGUUUUGAGGAUAUGGGCGCAGAAGUUACGAAGGGUUUAUUUAGUUGUUGUUGAAAUGCUCUGUAUGCUUUAGAUUAUUAUUUGUUGUACCCUUGCCCUUAUCUUGAUAUCUUCUGUAAGAGGGAUAGGGAUUGUAUUAGAUAAUGCUUGUAAUAUUAUUUAUAUAUAUGUAUGUAUGUAUAUGGAUGUACUCUUUAUGAGUUUCUACAAGUUGUAUGGUAUGUAUGGAUGUACGUUGUAUAGCAAAAGUAUCUUUGGGAGCGGUUUUGCGGUUUAAAGUUUUAAACAGGCUUAUAUUUUAGUAUUAAAUAGUAUAGGUGUCGUCGUAAUGUCCAAACUAUCAGAGUC